GACCUCGAAUCAGGUAGGA
rnacentral:rRNA from 2 species